UACGAAGGGGGCUAGCGUUGUUCGGAAUUACUGGGCGUAAAGCGCACGUAGGCGGAUAUUUAAGUCAGGGGUGAAAUCCCGGGGCUCAACCCCGGAACUGCCUUUGAUACUGGGUAUCUCGAGUCCGAGAGAGGUGAGUGGAAUUCCGAGUGUAGAGGUGAAAUUCGUAGAUAUUCGGAGGAACACCAGUGGCGAAGGCGGCUCACUGGCUCGGCACUGACGCUGAGGUGCGAAAGCGUGGGGAGCAAACAGG
rnacentral:rRNA from 1 species